rnacentral:rRNA from 1 species
AUUGAACGCUGGCGGCAGGCUUAACACAUGCAAGUCGAGCGAGCGGCGGACGGGUGAGUAAUGUCUGGGAAACUGCCUGAUGGAGGGGGAUAACUACUGGAAACGGUAGCUAAUCCCGCAUACCAUACGAUGUGCCCAGAUGGGAUUAGCUAGUCGGUGGGGUAACGGCUCACCUAGGCGACGCGCCCUAGCUGGUCUGAGCGGAUGAUCAGUCACACUGGAACUGAGACACGGUCCAGACUCCUACGGGAGGCAGCAGUGGGGAAUAUUGGACAAUGGUCGAAAGCCUGAUCCAGCCAUGCCUCGUGUGUGAAGAAGGUCUUCGGAUUGUAAAGCACUUUAAGUUGGGAGGCGUUACCAACAGAAUAAGCACCGGCUAACUUCGUGCCAGCAGCCGCGGUAAUUC